AACGCACGUAACAAAUUCCAUUAUCGAUUUCUUCGAAUUUCUUUUCUUUUAUGCUUUAUGGCAGAAAAUAAAUCAAACAAACAGUACUUUGAAAGGGCUUCAUCAAAAUCUUUGACGAAUUUUGGACACACGACGCUGAAAGAACAGCCAAACUAGUCAUGUAUUCGAAAGCUUCUUGUUGACAGCCAAGAUCAGUUCUGCCAACUUGCUUCGCCGGCAAAAGUCUUAUUUUUAAUAUCAGGUCCUACCGGCGUUGUUUUCUGAGCUACAUCGCCUUCUUCGUGGUAUGAUUGAGAAUUUAAUUGUUGCUGUUAUUAGCCCAUUUAAUAGUCGUUAGAGUAUAUCCGCGUCCAGCAAGUUGAGACCUUGAGAAAGCUUGGCAGUCAAGCCGUGCACAGAACUGACUAAUUAAAUCUUUGUUUGCUGUUCGCCUGUUCGGUUAAA